AAUGGGGGCAACCCUGAUCUAGCCAUGCCGCGUGAGUGAUGAAGGCCUUAGGGUCGUAAAGCUCUUUCGCCUGUGAUGAUAAUGACAGUAGCAGGUAAAGAAACCCCGGCUAACUCCGUGCCAGCAGCCGCGGUAAUACGGAGGGGGUUAGCGUUGUUCGGAAUUACUGGGCGUAAAGCGCGCGUAGGCGGAUUAGAAAGUUGGGGGUGAAAUCCCGGGGCUCAACCCCGGAACUGCCUCCAAAACUGCUAGUCUAGAGUUCGAGAGAGGUGAGUGGAAUUCCGAGUGUAGAGGCGAAAUUCGUAGAUAUUCGGAGGAACACCAGUGGCGAAGGCGGCUCACUGGCUCGAUACUGACGCUGAGGUGCGAAAGUGUGGGGAGCAAACGGGAUU
rnacentral:rRNA from 1 species